AAGCGGUGGAUGAUGUGGAUUAAUUCGAUGCAACGCGAAAACCUUACCUACCCUGACAUGUCCGGAAUCCCGAAGAGAUUUGGGAGUGCUCGCAAGAGAACCGGAACACAGGUGCUGCAUGGCUGUCGUCAGCUCGUGUCGUGAGAUGUUGGGUUAAGUCCCGCAACGAGCGCAACCCUUGUCAUUAGUUGCCAUCAUUUGGUUGGGCACUCUAAUGAGACUGCCGGUGACAAACCGGAGGAAGGUGGGGAUGACGUCAAGUCCUCAUGGCCCUUAUGGGUAGGGCUUCACACGUCAUACAAUGGUCGGUACAGAGGGUUGCCAACCCGCGAGGGGGAGCUAAUCCCACAAAGCCGAUCGUAGUCCGGAUCGCAGUCUGCAACUCGACUGCGUGAAGUCGGAAUCGCUAGUAAUCGUGGAUCAGCAUGUCACGGUGAAUACGUUCCCGGGUCUU
rnacentral:rRNA from 1 species